UAUACACAAUGUAUUCCAUGUAUCCAUGUUAAAGAAAUAUGAAUUGGAUUCAUCACAUGUUAUAAGGUACAAACCUCUUCCAUUAUAACACAACCUAUCCUGCAUUGAAGUUCUUAUGUAGAUAUUGGAUCAGAAAGAGAAAGUACUUUUAUCCAAGGUGAUUCACCUUGUAAAACUUCUUUAGCAACAUCACUUAAAGAAGGAAUCCACUUGGGUGCCAGAGGAGGAGAUGAAGGCCAAAUACCCAC
rnacentral:lncRNA from 1 species